AGUGAACGCUGGCGGUGGGCCUAACACAUGCAAGUCGAACGGCAGCACAGUAAGAGCUUGCUCUUACGGGUGGCGAGUGGCGGACGGGUGAGGAAUACAUCGGAAUCUACUUUUUCGUGGGGGAUAACGUAGUGAAACUUACGCUAAUACCGCAUACGACCUACGGGUGAAAGCAGGGGAUCUUCGGACCUUGCGCGAUUGAAUGAGCCGAUGUCGGAUUAGCUAGUUGGCGGGGUAAAGGCCCACCAAGGCGACGAUCCGUAGCUGGUCUGAGAGGAUGAUCAGCCACACUGGAACUGAGACACGGUCCAGACUCCUACGGGAGGCAGCAGUGGGGAAUAUUGGACAAUGGGCGCAAGCCUGAUCCAGCCAUACCGCGUGGGUGAAGAAGGCCUUCGGGUUGUAAAGCCCUUUUGUUGGGAAAGAAAAGCAGCAGGUUAAUACCCCGCUGUUCUGACGGUACCCAAAGAAUAAGCACCGGCUAACUUCGU
rnacentral:rRNA from 1 species